GGUGCAUGGUUGUCGUCAGCUCGUGUCGUGAGAUGUUGGGUUAAGUCCCGCAACGAGCGCAACCCUGACCUUAGUUGCCAGCAUUCAGUUGGGCACUCUAAGGGUGACUGCCGGCUAAAAGUCGGAGGAAGGUGGGGAUGACGUCAAAUCAUCAUGCCCCUUAUGACCUGGGCUACACACGUGCUACAAUGGGCGGUACAAAGGGUCGCGAACCCGCGAGGGGGAGCCAAUCCCAAAAAGCCGCUCUCGGUUCGGAUUGCAGGCUGCAACUCGCCUGCAUGAAGCCGGAAUCGCUAGUAAUCGCGGAUCAGCAUGCCGCGGUCGAAUACGUUCCCGGGCCUU
rnacentral:rRNA from 1 species